AGUUUGAUUAUGGCUCAGGAUGAACGCUAGCUACAGGCUUAACACAUGCAAGUCGAGGGGCAGCAUGAGAUUAGCUUGCUAAUCUUGAUGGCGACCGGCGCACGGGUGAGUAACGCGUAUCCAACCUUCCCCCUACUCAGGCAUAGCCCGGUGAAAACCGGAUUAACUCCUGAUAGUUUCACUAGAUGGCAUCUGACGGUGAAUAAAGCUCAGCGGUAAGGGAUGGGGAUGCGUCUGAUUAGCUUGUUGGCGGGUAACGGCCCACCAAGGCGACGACCAGUAGGGGUUCUGAGAGGAAGAUCCCCCACAUUGGAACUGAGACACGGUCCAAACUCCUACGGGAGGCAGCAGUGAGGAAUAUUGGUCAAUGGGCGCGAGCCUGAACCAGCCAAGUAGCGUGCAGGAAGACGGCCCUAUGGGUUGUAAACUGCUUUUGUGCGGGAAUAAAGUCAGGGACGUGUCCCUGUUUGCAUGUACCGCAAGAAUAAGGACCGGCUAAUUCCGUGCCAGCAGCGGC
rnacentral:rRNA from 1 species